rnacentral:rRNA from 1 species
AUUGAACGCUGGCGGCAGGCCUAACACAUGCAAGUCGGACGGUAGCACAGAGGAGCUUGCUCCUCGGGUGACGAGUGGCGGACGGGUGAGUAAUGUCUGGGGAUCUGCCCGAUAGAGGGGGAUAACCACUGGAAACGGUGGCUAAUACCGCAUAACGUCGCAAGACCAAAGAGGGGGACCUUCGGGCCUCUCACUAUCGGAUGAACCCAGAUGGGAUUAGCUAGUAGGCGGGGUAAUGGCCCACCUAGGCGACGAUCCCUAGCUGGUCUGAGAGGAUGACCAGCCACACUGGAACUGAGACACGGUCCAGACUCCUACGGGAGGCAGCAGUGGGGAAUAUUGCACAAUGGGCGCAAGCCUGAUGCAGCCAUGCCGCGUGUAUGAAGAAGGCCUUCGGGUUGUAAAGUACUUUCAGCGGGGAGGAAGGCGGUGAGGUUAAUAACCUCACCGAUCGACGUUACCCGCAGAAGAAGCACCGGCUAACUCCGUGCCAGCCGCCGCCGUAA